UUUUUCCUACGGGGGGCAGCAGUGGGGAAUAUUGGGCAAUGGGCGCAAGCCUUACCCAGCAAUACCGCGUGAGUGAAGAAGGUCUUCGGAUCGUAAACCUCUGUCAGCAGGGAAGAACGGUCACUGUGCUAAUCAGCAGUGAAUUGACGGUACCUGCAAAGGAAGCACCGGCUAACUCCGUGCCAGCAGCCGCGGUAAUACGGAGGGUGCGAGCGUUAAUCGGAAUUACUGGGCGUAAAGCGCUCGUAGGCGGUAUGUCAAGUCAAGGGCGAAAUCCCCGCGCUCAACGUGGGAACUGCCUUUGG
rnacentral:rRNA from 1 species